UCCACCAUACCUGCUCCCCAGCCUCUCCCCACGGCCAUCAGGAGGAAGCCGAGCAGAGCAGCAGGAGAGGCGCUGGUUCCGCCAGAUCGGUUGCCCGCGCGCUGUGGGGAUGGCCCGAUGGGGAAGAUGGAGAGACGACGAGUUUAGGAGGCGCAUCGCAGGGCCUUGACCCUCUCUUCUCUGUAGCACAGGGUGAGAGAAGUUUAUGCUUCUGCUCACAGUCCCAACAUCCUCAUGGCAGGUCCAAAUCCCUGAGGUUUAUGACCUUGAUUUUGCCAUAGAGGUAGUAGAAGCAGAUAUAGUGCAAGAAGCCGACGCACUCAUAAUGUACACCCAUCACCUGAGGAAAGAGAGAAGAGCUUGACCAACGUCAGAACUAGAUGGGUCUGCCAACAAGUGAUGAAAUGCAAAAGCAAGACAUGCUCAAGAAAUUCAUGUCUUGGGUAAUCACGCUGAUUGCCUGAGGUGUUGAAAUGCCGUGCCUCUGUGUGCUAUGUUGUCGAGUACUUUCAUGUGCAGUACACAUGACAACUUGAAGAAAUACAUCCACCAAGAUGAUGCAUGAUACCCUCCCAGUCAAGCUUGGAGAUGGAACCGAGGGUUAUGCCAGUGGCUUCAUGCUUGGAACCGACAAGUGGGCCAGCAUCAUGAUGAACUGGUCAUGGUUUCACAACCACACAAACAUCCAGGAAGGUGUCAUAUGUGCCUUCCAUUUCAAGCGCAAGGCAAGGUGUCACGUCUCUCACUGUGCAUCGUCUCUAGGUGCACCACCGUCAACUACAGCUAUCGCCUAUACAUAUGAUCCGUGUAUCGACUCUGCCUCUCUUUGGGAGGUCACCCGUCUUUUGGAGGAUGUUAGACUUUAAUUUCAACCGAUUGUCGUGCUCUGUGAUCAUUCCUUCACCUUCUAAGGUUGUCACCUAUUAGUGAAUACUAUGUUUCUGUAGUUUUA